AACGUAGGACGCAAGCGUUAUCCGGAGUUACUGGGCGUAAAGCGUGCGCAGGCGGUUCGUUGUGUCGGCGGUGAAAGCCCCGGGCUUAACCUGGGAAUGGCCGUUGAAACUGGCGAACUGGAGUGUGGCAGAGGGGGGUGGAAUUCCGCGUGUAGCAGUGAAAUGCGUAGAGAUGUGGAGGAAUACCGAUGGCGAAGGCAGCCCCCUGGGCCAAUACUGACGCUCAUGCACGAAAGCGUGGGGAGCAAAUAGG
rnacentral:rRNA from 1 species